AGGUAAGCUACUAAGAGCGAAUGGUGGAUGCCUUGACUGGUAAAGGCGAUGAAGGACGUACUAGACUGCGAUAAGCUACGGGGAGCUGUCAAGAAGCUUUGAUCCGUAGAUUUCCGAAUGGGGCAACCCAAUGUAUAGAGAUAUACAUUACCUAUAUAGGAGCGAACGAGGGGAAUUGAAACAUCUUAGUACCCUCAGGAAAAGAAAUCAAUAGAGAUUGCGUCAGUAGCGGCGAGCGAAAGCGCAAGAGGGCAAACCCAGUGCUUGCACUGGGGGUUGUAGGACUGCAAUGUGCAAGAGGUGAGUUUAGCAGAACAUUCUGGAAAGUAUAGCCAUAGAGGGUGAUAGUCCCGUAUGCGAAAAACAAACCUUAGCUAGCAGUAUCCUGAGUAGGGCGGGACACGAGAAAUCCUGUCUGAAGCUGGGUCGACCACGAUCCAACCCUAAAUACUAAUACCAGAUCGAUAGUGCACAAGUACCGUGAGGGAAAGGUGAAAAGAACUGAGGUGAUCAGAGUGAAAUAGAACCUGAAACCAUUUGCUUACAAUCAUUCAGAGCCCUAUGUAGCAAUACAGGGUGAUGGACUGCCUUUUGCAUAAUGAGCCUGCGAGUUGUGGUGUCUGGCAAGGUUAAGCAAACGCGAAGCCGUAGCGAAAGCGAGUCUGAAUAGGGCGCUUAGUCAGAUGCUGCAGACCCGAAACGAAGUGAUCUAUCCAUGAGCAAGUUGAAGCUAGUGUAAGAACUAGUGGAGGACUGAACCCAUAGGCGUUGAAAAGCCCCGGGAUGACUUGUGGAUAGGGGUGAAAGGCCAAUCAAACUUCGUGAUAGCUGGUUCUCUCCGAAAUAUAUUUAGGUAUAGCGUUGUGUCGUAAUAUAAGGGGGUAGAGCACUGAAUGGGCUAGGGCAUACACCAAUGUACCAAACCCUAUCAAACUCCGAAUACCUUAUAUGUAAUCACAGCAGUCAGGCGGCGAGUGAUAAAAUCCGUCGUCAAGAGGGAAACAACCCAGACUACCAGCUAAGGUCCCUAAAUCUUACUUAAGUGGAAAACGAUGUGAAGUUACUUAAACAACCAGGAGGUUGGCUUAGAAGCAGCCAUCCUUUAAAGAAAGCGUAAUAGCUCACUGGUCUAGUGAUUUUGCGCGGAAAAUAUAACGGGGCUAAAGUAAGUACCGAAGCUGUAGACUUAGUUUACUAAGUGGUAGGAGAGCGUUCUAUUUGCGUCGAAGGUAUACCGGUAAGGAGUGCUGGAGCGAAUAGAAGUGAGCAUGCAGGCAUGAGUAGCGAUAAUUAAUGUGAGAAUCAUUAACGCCGUAAACCCAAGGUUUCCUACGCGAUGCUCGUCAUCGUAGGGUUAGUCGGGUCCUAAGUCGAGUCCGAAAGGGGUAGACGAUGGCAAAUUGGUUAAUAUUCCAAUACCAACAUUAGUGUGCGAUGGAAGGACGCUUAGGGCUAAGGGGGCUAGCGGAUGGAAGUGCUAGUCUAAGGUCGUAGGAGGUUAUACAGGCAAAUCCGUAUAACAAUACUCCGAGAACUGAAAGGCUUUUUGAAGUCUUCGGAUGGAUAGAAGAACCCCUGAUGCCAUCGAGCCAAGAAAAGUUUCUAAGUUUAGCUAAUGUUGCCCGUACCGUAAACCGACACAGGUGGGUGGGAUGAGUAUUCUAAGGCGCGUGGAAGAACUCUCUUUAAGGAACUCUG
rnacentral:rRNA from 1 species